UCCGGUUUGGCACCGGCAGUCUCCGAUGAGUCCCCGGCAUUACCCGCUGGCAACAUCGGACAGGGGUUGCGCUCGUUGCGCCACUUAAGGCAACACCUCACGGCACGAGCUGACGACAGCCAUGCAGCACCUGUGCAGGCUCCCGAAGGAGCGCCGUGUUUCCACGGCUUCACCCUGCAUGUCAAGUCCUGGUAAGGUUCUUCGCGUUGCGUCGAAUUAAGCCACAUGCUCCACCGCUUGUGCGGGCCCCCGCCAAUUCCUUUGAGUUUCAACCUUGUGGUCGUAGUCCCCAGGCGGUUCACUUAAUGCGUUAGCUGCGGCACCGAGGGCAAAACCCCCGACACCUAGUGUUCAUCGUUUACGGCUAGGACUAC
rnacentral:misc_RNA from 1 species